ACACCUGUGGUGAAGUGGUUAUCAUGCUUGCCUUCCAAUUGUCAGAGUCGUGAAAGUUACUUGUAGCAAGCGGCACGGGUUCGAUUCCCGUCGGGUGUA
rnacentral:tRNA from 1 species